GGCGAACGGGUGAGUAACACGUGGGUAAUCUGCCCUGCACUCUGGGAUAAGCCUGGGAAACUGGGUCUAAUACUGGAUAUGACCUUUCUCCUUAUGGGGUUUGGUGGAAAGUUUUUCGGUGUAGGAUGAGCCCGCGGCCUAUCAGCUUGUCGGUGGGGUGAUGGCCUACCAAGGCGACGACGGGUAGCCGGCCUGAGAGGGUGAUCGGCCACAUUGGGACUGAGAUACGGCCCAG
rnacentral:rRNA from 1 species